CUCCCCUACCCUCUCUCUAUGCAACUCUUGCUCCCAACUCUUACCCAUGAUAGACCCUUUCUCCUAUACGCUAGAGGAUUUUGCUCAAAGUUCGACAUCAUCCUAGAUAUUAUAAAUCUCUUCCACCCUAACCAAGGCUCAUGGGACACUUUGUUUGUUGGCUACUAUAGUCUAUCAGAUUCGACUAUAAUGAAUAUAAAGAGCAAGCCCUUGUAAAGAGAGAAUCAGAAGUACUAAGAAAAGAGGAAGAACUUUAAAAGAGAGAAGAACAGAUUGAGAAGAGGAAGUUGGCACUCCACAAUGAUCAAGCCCAGCUUCAUAGGCAAGAAGCUGAUUUGCGGCAUGCACGCACAUUACUUUGUGU